rnacentral:misc_RNA from 1 species
AGCAGCCGCGGUAAUUCCGGCUCCAAUAGCGUAUAUUAAAGUUGUUGCAGUUAAAAGCUCGUAGUUGAAUUUCGGGAUUGACGUGAUGGUCAUGCCUUAAGGGGUAUGAACUGUUACUGUUGAUUUCUCACCUUCUGGAGAAACUUGAUGUCCUUUAUUGGGUGUCUUGCGGAUCCAGGACCUUUACCUUGAAAAAUUAGAGUGUUUAAAGCAGGCAUUUUUGCUCGAAUACAUUAGCAUGGAAUAACAGAAUAGGACGGCAUGGUUCUAUUUUGUUGGUUUCUAGGACCACCGUAAUGAUUAAUAGGGAUAGUUGGGGGCAUUAGUAUUCAAUUGUCAGAGGUGAAAUUCUUGGAUUUAUUGAAGACUAACUACUGCGAAAGCAUUUGCCAAGGAUGUUUUCAUUAAUCAAGAACGAAAGUUAGGGAUCGAAGACGAUCAGAUACCGUCGUAGUCUUAACCAUAAACUAUGCCGAUAGGAAUCAGACGAUGUUAAUUUUUAAUGUACUCGUUUGGCUAC